rnacentral:rRNA from 1 species
AUGACGGGACGGUGGCCACCGAGACGGAGGAGGUCGGGAACGAGUAGUAGGAGCCCAGGAAACCGCUCAUGGUGCCGCCGCCGCCGCCAUAUGAGCUGCUCAUGCCGCCGCCGUACGAGCUGGACAUGCCGCCGCCGCCGCCGCCCCCGCCGUAGAACGAGAGAAGGUUGCCUUGGUUGGCGGCGGCGCCUCUGCCCUGCAGGAGCAUCUGGUAGCGCAGGUAGUCGGAGCUCUGAUCCGACCCUGCGCACGGACGCGGAAGCAUAUUUAUACGGUGUCACGGGGACGAGGCGCCAAGCAAAAGCAGAGAGAAUGCAAAGCGAGGCAGCGCAAGCGUGUUCCAAGUUGUGCACUCGCGCAUGCAGUGUGUGUAUGUGCAUGCACCCGAACGCGAUUUGCAAGGUGUUAAUAAAGCGCGUCCGUCCCGAUCACCGAGGGGUUAAAUUUAGGAAUGUGAACUGGAAAGCAGUAGAGAAAAGAUAUUCAUGCUUCCAGCAAAGCGAUAAGCACCACCUCAAGAAUUCGAACCGCUUUUCGUUGCAAAAGGAGGAAAAAAUGAAGGAAAAAAACUGCCUUUUCAGGAAAGAAAUGAACUCUCUCGACCGUAUUCUCGUUGUUGUAUGCGCGUCACGCAAGCUCAUCCAUGACAUAUUGGCAUGUACUCCUACGUACAUGACACGAAGAUGCACUGUAUUUUAUACAUAUGUACGAUGA